UCCUUCCCAUUAUUUGGUGGAUUUUAUCAUCAUCCCUGUAAGAUUGUUAUAGUUAGCAUUCAUAGUUUGAAUCCUUAUUUAUCCCCACUUCAUUUAUCUACAAUAAUAUCGUCUAGUAUAAUUAAUAGUACAUAUCAUGAUAAGAGACUUUGACACAAAAACAAAAGUAAGAAAUCACGACAAGAAGACGCUGCAGCUCUCGUUGCCCUAGUUGCACCUCUCCGUCGAGGUUUGUUGCCAACGGCUGCCGUCGCUUUCAUCGCUCGAUCUCGCUGCUUCUUCUCGGAAAAGCCCGUUGCAUUAGAGGAGAGUUUAACCCUAGCCGUCAUCUUCUCCACCCAAUCAUGAGUCAAUGCAAUGGAGCAUGCUCGGGUUCUUCGAACCCCCAGAGAUCCAGCGCGGGUCUUCUCCCCUGUCCGCUGCUCCACCCCUUUCGUUCGGAGCCGUGGGUAGGAUGAAACACGGGUCCCUGCGAAUCAAUCCACCGCUGCAAUCACAGAUCCAUGGGCCACCAAAAAUAUCAUGCCGUUAGUUUCUAUUGGAUGCCGUUAACCGAUUUUGGGUUAGCGCCUCCACGUCAGGUGUUGACCGAUAACGUGGAAUUUCCUUCUUCUCUUUUUCUUCGCCAAUGCCCCUAUAUUAAUUUCCUUCUUCUUUUUUUCUUCGCCAACGCCCCUG
rnacentral:lncRNA from 1 species